GGUUUUAUAGUCAAAAAUGACAUUAGAUUGCAAAUCUAAGGGUAAAGUUUCUUUUAAAGCCU
rnacentral:tRNA from 2 species